UACAGAGGUCUCAAGCGUUGUUCGGAUUCAUUGGGCGUAAAGGGUGUGUAGGUGGCGCGCUAAGUCGGGUGUGAAAUUUCGGAGCUUAACUCCGAAACUGCAUUCGAUACUGGCGUGCUUGAGGACUGGAGAGGAGACUGGAAUUCAUGGUGUAGCAGUGAAAUGCGUAGAGAUCAUGAGGAAGACCAGUGGCGAAGGCAGGUCUCUGGGCAUUAACUGACGCUGAGGAGCGAAAGCAUGGGGAGCGAACAGG
rnacentral:rRNA from 1 species